rnacentral:lncRNA from 1 species
AAGCCAACAAGAAUUUCAGGUUGUGGGACCACUGUACUCUUAUUUCCAACACUGUUCCUGAAUUGAUAAGGUUGACAGAUAGACCGGAAUGAAGUUCCCAGGCAUUGGUGGUCCAAAGCAAAAACAGAAAAAGAAAUAGUGUAACACAAAGAACAUACAAUAGUCAUUAAGGGGCCAGGAACCCCAAUAGAGCCUUUCUGAUGAUCAGACUGGAUGAAGAUAAUGUUGUGUAAGAUUCCACAAGCUCAAAAGCCUCCAGAUCAUAAUGCAAGAUGUUUGCCUGCUUACCUCACUUGGACAUGCCACAGCAAAAGAAAUACAAGCUAUUUUACCUACAAGAAACCAUGGGUAUUUUGCCUCACCAGUCUAAGCCAC